UGGUGCUGCAAUCAAAGUUUUGCCUGGAGCCGGGAUAAGUGGCCAGUGUAAGAUCACUAGUUGCACAAUGGAUUGCGUCCAGGAUUCUUUUGGUUUCCACCACUGGGUAGAUUUUAAGUGUACUGAACUCUUCUGGUUUUAUGAAGAACCCCAAGAUGGACAUCAGCGCCAACAAAGAGAGAAGACACACAACCAGCUUACUCGUCACUUUCUCUCUCUCGUGAUUUUGUGUCCGCACUGAGGAUCAACGGAAAGCCGUUACUGUUUUGCAGCUUAUUGAAAUGGUCAAAAGUAGGAGGAGCUUCUGUCACCUUCAGGAAUGGAGAAGGUCAACGGGUUGCUCCAUUCGCUCCAACUCCCCUUGAAAGAAACGAAAGGAGUACGACGUUGAUCAACGCACAGCAAGCUUGGGGACGUUAAUCCAUGAUUACCAUUUUCUUGCCGGGACUCCAAAUGACCAGCUGGAAAAGCUGAUUUUGAACUUUCAGGUACUCCUUCUGGUAAGGAGUCUGAAUGUGAAACACAGCCUGAUUUGAGUCGCGCUUCAACGUUACGUUCCAAACCUCGGGACUGCGAGGUUUAACUGCAAGGACACAAUAGACAACCGGGUCAGGUUCUGAAAAGUCAACUUUGAUUAAAAGUACAGAUGAAGAGGCACAAGUGAAAAUCUUAAAAGCGUCAAAAAUGAAUUUAAGGACACGUGAUCUCUUUUCAAUUGUCAAAUUGAAGAAUAUUUAGGUCUGGGUUCUGGCUGCAUCAAUACUUUAUUUUUGUAAUAAUGUUUGGUUUUCUCCCCAGUACGGAAUUUCAGGUUGUUUGCCCACUGAAAUGUGCAAGUACAUUUUUAGAUUAAAAUUGAACAUGAUAUUUUACACGUCAUCCAGCUUAAUUUUAUGAAUUGUUACCAAUUUUCUUCAGUUGGACUGUCUUCCGGAUGAUGGCGCCCCCCUUCAGGCGGAUGGUCAAGUUGAGACCGGCCAGGGGAUUCAGUUCGGUUGAGGUGAUCGAACCUCCCGACUCUGUCAGACAUCUUAGUUUGUUCACUUGCAGGUCAGAGUCUCCGUAUCCACUCUGAGCCAGACAAGCCGCCGGGAGCAGCAACAACAUCGGCAGCAUUAGAAACAGCGACGGCGGCGGCGGCGGCUCGGCUAUCCGGCAGCCAAACAGCAUCUUG